rnacentral:rRNA from 1 species
CCCUUAGAUGUUCUGGGCCACACGCGCGUUACACUGAUGAAGCCAGCGAGUAUAUCGCCUUCACCGGAAGGUGCGGGUAAUCUUGUGAAACUUCAUCGUGCUGGGGAUAGACCAUUGCAAUUAUUGGUCUCGAACGAGGAAUUCCUAGUAAGCAUGAGUCAUCAACUCGUGCUGAUUACGUCCCUGCCCUUUGUACACACCGCCCGUCGCUACUACCGAUUGAAUGGUUUAGUGAGAUCUCGGGAUUGGAGACGUUGCGCCGCAAGGCACAUCGUCCUCGAGAACUUGAUCAAACUUGAUCAUUUAGAGGAAGUAAAAGUCGUAACA